AUCGCGAGUGCACAGUCUGGUAGUGUGUUCACCAGGGUACUACUGGAUUUAGUGCUUUUCUUGGAACUUGUGAUGCUUCUGGACUCCCCAGGAACACAGCAGAGGGGAAAGUGACAGAAGUGAUAGAUGUGACCAGGAGGUCUCACUGUUCAGUGUGAGAAAUCUGUCAGCAUCUAGAAGGAAUGUGCAGUUUCCUGCACCAGCUUAUUUUUACUGUAAAGGUGAAAAAGGAGUUGGGAUGGCACUGGCCCUGUAAUCACAGCUGAAGGGAGAGGAGCAUCAUCGCAGGCCAGAAAUAUCAAAUGAAGUUUGUUCCAGCAGCAGCCUCUUCAACUUCCCACUUCUCAAAUCCAAAAGCAGCUGUAAGGAUGGAGAAACUGAUGUAAAAUGGAUGACCUGACUGCACUGUCACAUUCCAAGAAGAUAAUUGCAAAGAUCAAGAUAUGUAAGCAAACUUUCAGAGAUGCUGCAGUGAAUUAAAUAAGCAGGUAUGUAAAACUGUCUAAACCUGGAAAUCUGAGUCUGAGAUUUCUCAUGUUUUGGCCAAAGAACC